rnacentral:lncRNA from 1 species
AUGGGUGCAAACCUCCCCUGCUCUCGUGGAGCUGGGUGCAGGGGGGGCCAGCUGGGGACAUCAGGGACCCCGGUGUCCGAGCUCCCUCCCUUCCCCCAGCCCCAUCUCCUCCUGGAACAGGAGGGACCCAGGCAUCCUGCCCCCCCCCAUACUGAGGAAGCGGAGCCCAGCUGCAGACCAGAUGCUGCGGCUCCGCCAGCAUCCCUGGGCGAACGCGCCGCCCCCGCCCGCGGCCCCGCCGGCCGCUUCCUGCCUGCACCAAGGGACCCCGGGGCACCCCGAAACCCGGCAUCCCGACACCCCGGCGUGGGAAAGCGCCGGCGGGGCCACACCGUGCGCCAGGGCCUGGGGGGGACCCCGGAGUCCAGACUGCCGCUACCCUCGCCAACAACCGGCCGUCACUCCUGGGCCAGAGCCGGGGAUGGCACCCAGGCCUCUGGAAAUUGCGGGGGGGGACACACAAGAAGCAAAGCCCCGGCCGGUGGACGCAGCUGCAGGGCCCGGUGCGUCUGGCAGCGCCAUGCCAGGCGGGAUAGCCCCACGGCCACACCGCGGGGCCCGGCACAGCCGGCAGGAGGGUGGGUGCCCGCUCAGGGCUUUCCUGCGGAUGAGGAUCCCACGUGCCCCGAAUUCCUGCACCUCUGCGGGAGCGAGGUGGGGGAAGGAGGGUCCCGGGAACCCCCAGCCACGGGGUACAUCAGGCCAUGCGGUGCCCGGUCCUGCCCACGCACGACCGGGCACGGCGCUCAGCCUGCCGGACACCGCCGCCCCGCCUGGUCCCCACAGGGUAUCCUGCCCAGUGGGCCCAGGGGGUCCCGUCCCCCCACCAGCACCGGGGCCUGGGGUCCCCACCACCCCGACUCACCCAUCUGCUGCGCCGCCGCCGCCACCACCCCGUGCCGCAGCGCUGCGCUGGCUACGCACCACCGGCCGGCCCAGGGUGAUGGAGCGCAGCUAACGCGAGGCGACGGCGGGGCCACCCCGUGCCUGGCGGGGUGGUGCUCAUGCACCACCCAGCCCUACAUAAACCCCCGAGAGCCCCACAAAACCCCCAGCAGGAUGUGGACCCAGGCAGGCAGGGGAUGGCUACAGUGGGCUCCCGCAAGCCCCCCCGUUGCCAUCGGGAACCGCCUGGUGCCUCAGUUUCCCCAGCUGCGUCAUGGCAGCAUCCCCAAGGCCCUGCUGCAGCGGCAGGCAGGCUCCCCGUGCCCCAAAAAGCGGCUCUUGCCCCUGUGCCAGCGAGACGGCGUCCCGCCGGGCAGAGCAGCGUCGGUGCCGGGCCAGCAGCCAGCGCCUCGGGGCCAGCCCCGCUGGGCACAGCCCAGCCGCAGCUGUCUCUGGGGAAACUGA